AUUCAAUCCUGUCUCACCAAGCCAAACUCUCACAUGUUUUAUACUCGACUUCCCUCCUUGUUUUCCCAGUCAAAGUUACUCUUACUAAAUCUAGCAGCUAAAAGCAUCUCUCCCCAGCUUAAUUUCCUCUCUCUCUCUCUNAUUACUUCUCUCUCUCUCUCUCUCUCUCUCUCUCUCUGUCCCUUCUCACAGUGGCAGAUGGCUCCUAAGAAGGAUGGAGUGAGUAAAAGAGUUAUGAACAAAGGAGCAUGGACAGCUGAGGAAGAUCGAAAAUUGGCUGAAUAUAUU
rnacentral:lncRNA from 1 species